AAGGAAACGCUUAAGAAGAUAUUGCGUAAAACGAGUUAGCCUUUUUGGUCUGCUUUACAGUUCGAUUACGCAUUCACACCUCCCCAAACCUUCUAGGCAAAUGAACAGGAAUUGGAGGCUGGUGUGAAUGCAACCUAACAUACAGGGAGGGAAUAACAUGGAAAAGAGACCAGAGUCUAAAGACAGGGGAGGGUUUGUAGUGUUCCAUAAUGUGUCAAGCUUUGUAUGGAUAUGGACUUCCUAUUUGCUCUCAUUUUUGAAUACAGGUUGCUGGAUCAUUAUCCAAACAUGGAUCCAUGUUGGGGAACUGAUCCAAAGUUCCCCAACAUGGAUUGUCCAAAUCUCACCAUCUUUUACCUCGGAAGUUGCUUAGGCAAAUUGUGCCGUCUCUUGCAUUGUUGUAGACUAAAAGAGAGGAAGACUUUCUUUGCUAACUGCCACUCAUUUGCAUUCUACAGAUAAACUGCUGGACUUUGGAUAAGAAUUACAAACGGGCACAUAUUUAACUUCCAUGUGUGAUAAAUUAGACAUGAGAGGUGGCAAAGGCAGAAUCAGCAAAUUAAACUUAGCUUUUCCUUAAAGAAAAUGAUCCAAAAAUAGAAAACAAAAUAUGUAAACACUCACAAUGAAGUUGUAUGCCUUAUUUUAAUUCUUAAGUUAGAAUAAAUAUUCUUCAGUUUUUGGGUUGUGGUUUGUAGCAAAAUCCAUUGAUAAAAACAAUUAGCAAACUGCUAAAAAAAAACUGCUAGUCACUGUACUUAUACUUCUUAAAAUUAAUUAAUGUUGAACAUAUGUUAGCAUUUAUCAAAUCCUCCAGAAUUUUGCAAUUUUUUUGUGAUUUUUUUCCAAUAAAAACGCCAGAUUUUGUUGUGCUAAUUUAGAAAUAUUUGCAAGAAAUUUUGCAAUAUUUGCGCCUAUGUAUGACAUUAAAUUUGACUUUUCUUCCCUUGCUAACUUCACAUUACGUAUGGCUGAUUCAGCAGUGGAGAAAAAGUACAAAACACUGCCACCUAUAGGUGGGUUUUAACAUUACAUAAACUCAAUAUUUUUGACAAUUUAUGCAGUAAAUUUGUAAUCAAUUCAAAUUAUUCACAAUUAUAAUUUAUGAAUUUCUGCCAAAAAACUGAUCGAUGUAAUUUGACGCCUAGUGGGCCACACAAAAAGCUACGGUGGUCAAGAUUUGGAGUUUGAAACAUGUGCACUAGGCAUUGUUAAAAAAAAAAUGAAUACGCCAAUUAGACAAGCAAUUAGACAUGAAAAGAAGCGUAGUUUGUGUGUGAAAGACACAUCAAAUGUUGCACGUUUUUUGGCCCUCCUGGAUUUCCAUACAAGAGGAGCAGGAGACCAAGCAGAACACGAGUUUAUCAAAGCUGAGUGUGAAUUUUUGUGAGAUUUAAAUGUACACACCACAAAUUAUUCUUUGCUUAAAUAGAUACAUGCUCCCACAUCAGUCUCAGUGCAGCUCAAAUUUAGUUUUUGAGCAAAACUGGAGGAAAAGCAAGGCUGUUAAAACACACAGACAUCCCACAAGUGCUACGCCCAUCCCACUGUAGCCUCUCUUCAGCUAACUACAGCGAGUUGAAUUACCAUUCCUCAGAAAAGCGCCCAACCUUUGCUUCAUCGGGAUCUUCUGCCAAAUGUCUCUAGCUGGCAGCAUCGCAGGAUCCCUCUGCCACAGCGGGCCGACAGAACCUCAUUCAUCCUUUCAUUAAUCUCCCAUCCCGUUCAGGAUCGCACAGGACGGAUGGGGAGUCUCUAAUUGGGCCAUUCAUGAUAUUUGUUCUGUUUUCUGCUAAUGAGGGAGAGGAAGAAAGAAGCCUGAAGUAGAAAAGCUGCUUUAAAGAAUGAGAAGAAAAAGAAAAAAAUAUGUUUAUGUCUCUUUAAGGAUUGUAAUGGAAUUACACACAACAAACUACCACAAUAUGGGUGAUGUAGUUCUGAUCAACACCUUUCAUUUAUAACUAUAUUUCCCGUGCAGUGUCUUCCAAAAGCAUACACCCCCCCCCCCACUAAAGUACUUCUUUUUUGUUAAAUUCAAAUUUCAAAGCAUUUUGUUGGGCAUUUUGAUUGACAAAAAGUAACUUAUUUGUAGAGUUUUCUGUGGAAGGUCACUCCAAAAAUGUGUGGACUUUUCAUAGAUCAUGUCUAAAAUAUUCUAAGAAAUAACAACAUCCUGGGAAGCACAGAUGUUGACAGUACCUUGGGCUGUCUCUUGCAAAAGCUAAGUUGGUUUCCAUUGUGCUUGAAAUGCAUAUUAAGGUAUAUUUGGUGUUUGAACUAUUAAAAUAAGCUGUUAUAAAUUUGAUGUUGAUAACAUUUAGCACACAGAAUUUUCUGUAUAAACUGUAAAGCAACAAUUUGCUUAGCUAUUUGUAAUAUUUUCUGUUGACAGAAGGUUGACAUCUGUGUUCAGGUUUUGGUUACCGAUUCUUCAUGCUCUUAUUUUGAAGUGCGUCAAGACAGCUCAUGCAGUAGUUCUGUUUCCUCUUUCUCUCUCUCUUUGUACCUUUUUUAUUGAGGAAAAGGAGAAUAUACAGCAAAUGAAAGAAUGGGGUAUACAGGAUACAAACACCUAAAUGAACAAAUGGUGGUAUCAGCUUGGUUGAAUUUAGUACUUAGCAGCUAAUGAGGUUUGUGGUUGGAACUUGGCAAAAUGGAAAACGUUCAGUCGGCCAUGAAGACUUUUGCAAGGGAUUGUAUUCCCUCUAAAUAUUUAUACAACAA